CUCUUCCUCAUCGUCCUUCUCCAGAACCGAUCUAGGGUCUUGCUCGGCUGCCUUCUCUACAAGACGGGUGCCCAUGAGUUCCUCUGCGAUGUAGAACAAGCGGCACACAUCGAUCACAGUGGGGAGCAAAGUCUUUGGCUGAUAAAGGAGGAGUGGACUAUGGUGCAAUAAUGCAAUCAGUUGCACCAGAGUUGUCCACAUUGGAUUCUGAAGUGGGAUUUGAAAGAGGACGAGAAGCUGAUCUCGUCAACAUGAAUCUGAAAAGGUAAUGGGAAGUAAUACUUGAGGAAGUCCUAGUCAGGAGAAGGCUCGUGUUAUUAAUAAUGAUGAUAAUAAUGCGAUGUCAUCUAUGACAAAGAGGGUGAUGGCGGCGACUAUGGCUAUGCGAGGGUGAUGAUUAUGUCUACGUCAAUGAUCAUUAGGGCACAUAUGGCGAUGGGCAUGACAAUAACUCCGAGUCUUUGAUGAUGAUUGUGAGUCUAAUGACCAGAGUCAUGCAACAAAGCAAAUUUCUCUUGUAUUUCUACAGUUUAGCCCUUGUGAGAAUGUUUGGACCACUUUAGUUUCCUUACUACUCUCUAUUGUAUUCGAC